rnacentral:rRNA from 1 species
CCUACGGGUGGCUGCAGUGGGGAAUAUUGCACAAUGGGGGAAACCCUGAUGCAGCGACGCCGCGUGAGUGAGGAAGUAUUUCGGUAUGUAAAGCUCUAUCAGCAGGGAAGAAAAUGACGGCACCUGACUAAGAAGCCCCGGCUAACUACGUGCCAGCAGCCGCGGUAAUACGUAGGGUGCAAGCGUUAUCCGGAUUUACUGGGUGGAAAGGGAGAGUAGACGGAAUGGCAAGUCUGAUGUGAAAGCCCGGGGCUCAACCCCGGAAGUGCAUUGGAAACUGUCGAUCUAGAGUGUCGGAGAGGCAAGCGGAAUUCCUGGUGUAGCGGUGAAAUGCGUAGAUAUUAGGAGGAACACCGAUGGCGAAGGCGGCUUGCUGGACGGUGACUGACGUUGAGGCUCGAAAGCGUGGGGAGCAAACAGGAUUAGAUACCCCGGUAGUC